UACGUAGGGUGCAGGCGUUAAUCGGAAUUACUGGGCGUAAAGCGUGCGCAGGCGGUUUGCUAAGACAGGUGUGAAAUCCCCGGGCUUAACCUGGGAACUGCGCUUGUUACUGGCAGGCUUGAGUGUGGCAGAGGGGGGUGGAAUUCCACGUGUAGCAGUGAAAUGCGUAGAGAUGUGGAGGAACACCGAUGGCGAAGGCAGCCCCCUGGGCUAACACUGACGCUCAUGCACGAAAGCGUGGGGAGCAAAACGG
rnacentral:rRNA from 1 species